AGCGAACGCUGGCGGCAGGCUUAACACAUGCAAGUCGAGCGGGCAUCCUUGUGGUGUCAGCGGCAGACGGGUGAGUAACGCGUGGGAACGUGCCCUUCGGUUCGGAAUAACUCAGGGAAACUUUAGCUAAUACCGGAUACGUGCGAGAGCAGAAAGGUUUAUCUGCCGAAGGAUCGGCCCGCGUCUGAUUAGCUAGUUGGUGAGGUUAUGGCUCACCAAGGCGACGAUCAGUAGCUGGUCUGAGAGGAUGAUCAGCCACACUGGGACUGAGACACGGCCCAGACUCCUACGGGAGGCAGCAGUGGGGAAUAUUGGACAAUGGGGGCAACCCUGAUCCAGCCAUGCCGCGUGAGUGAUGACGGCCUUAGGGUUGUAAAGCUCUUUUCUUCGGGACGAUAAUGACGGUACCGGAGGAAUAAGCCCCGGCUAACUUCGUG
rnacentral:rRNA from 1 species